UACGUAGGUGGCAAGCGUUGUCCGGAUUUAUUGGGUUUAAAGGGUGCGUAGGCGGUCUUAUAAGUCAGUGCUGAAAUAUCCCGGCUUAACCGGGAGGGUGGCAUUGAUACUGUAGGACUUGAGUAAAGUUGAGGUUGGCGGAAUUGACGGUGUAGCGGUGAAAUGCUUAGAUAUCGUCAAGAACACCUAUAGCGAAGGCAGCUAACUAAACUUUAACUGACGCUGAGGCACGAAAGUGUGGGGAUCAAACAGG
rnacentral:rRNA from 1 species